rnacentral:tRNA from 1 species
CCGCCAUUAGCUCAUCAGGAUGGAGCGCCAGCCUUCGAAGCCGGUUGCGCGGGAUUCGAGUCCUCGAUGGCGGCCCA